UCCUCGUUUGCUCAGUUGGUAGAGGGCUCCACUGGAAAAGGAGAGGUUCCUGGUUCGAUACCCGGACCAGGCG
rnacentral:tRNA from 1 species